CCCUCCUUUUUUAUAUUUUAUUAUUUUCUCAGUCCUUCUCUUCCGUAAUUUUUUCUAGCUAUCUGUCUCCAUGCCGCCACUCACUGCUCGCCUUCCUCCUGCAGCAUGUUGCUUGGGUCAUCCAACCCAACUACCCCCCUUCCUUCUCCUACACCCAUUUUUCUAUCUCUCGGGUCGCUUGUCGAGUUUUGGGAUGUCGAAUCAAAGCAAAGAAAAAGAAGUAGAGAGUGGGGAGAAGGUUGAUCACCAACCGAAAAUUGAGGAGGCGAUCAAGGUGGU
rnacentral:lncRNA from 1 species